CAGGACGAACGCUGGCGGCGUGCCUAACACAUGCAAGUCGAACGGGGAUUUGUUUCGGCAGAAUCCUAGUGGCGAACGGGUGAGUAACGCGUAGGCAACCUGCCCUCCGGCCGGGGACAACACUCCGAAAGGGGUGCUAAUACCGGAUACGAAGAUAAUACCGCAUGGUGAUAUUUUGAAAGAUGGCCUCUAUUUAUAAGCUAUCGCCGGGGGAUGGGCCUGCGUCCGAUUAGCUGGUUGGUGGGGUAACGGCCUACCAAGGCGACGAUCGGUAGCCGGUCUGAGAGGAUGAACGGCCACAUUGGGACUGAGACACGGCCCAGACUCCUACGGGAGGCAGCAGUGGGGAAUCUUCCGCAAUGGGCGCAAGCCUGACGGAGCAACGCCGCGUGAGUGAGGAAGUUCUUCGGAACGUAAAGCUCUGUUGUUCCUGACGAACCUCCCCUUUAUCAACAACGGAGGGGACUGACGGUAGGGAACGAGGAAGCCACGGCUAACUACGUGCCAGCCGCAGC
rnacentral:rRNA from 1 species